rnacentral:rRNA from 1 species
CGGAGGAAAAGAAACUAACCAGGAUUCCCCUAGUAGCGGCGAGCGAAGCGGGAUUAGCCCAAUGUGAAAAGCCAUAAUCGGCAUUGUAGUUGUGCGAUCUUGAGGCGUCAGUUCAGGAAAGUGGCAUGGAAAUGUCUACCGUGGAGGGUGAGAGUCCCGUCCAUCCUGGACAGGGCGUCCUCGUACGAGAUCGUCACAGUCGAGUCGGGUAGCUUGGGAAUGCUGCUCUAAUCGGUGGUAAAUCUCAUCGAAGGCUAAAUACUGGUGGGAGACCGAUAGUGAACAAGUACCGUGAGGGAAAGAUCAAAAGCACUUUGAAAAGAAGGUGAAAAGAACCUGAAACCGUUACGGGGGAAGCGGAUUGCGUUGAAUUGAAGGGUGUCUAUGUGUUCAGCCCGCAAGGGUGUACUCAUGUAGAUGCUUACUUGCCGUGGGUUUGUGGAUACCGACUUUGGGUAUCCGCAGGCUGAGGGCUCCCCUCCGGGGUUGAGGACGGCAAGGUGGCGACGCGAUACGACCCGUCUUGAAACACGGACCAAGGAGUCUAGCACAUCUGCGAGUCGUAGGGUGGCAAAACCUGAGGGCGCAGUGAAAGCGAGUUUAUUUAAAACGAGCAGUUUGAGGCGGCAUACUUUCGUUGAAUGUAGGUCCGACCUAGAGCAAAUGUGCUGGGACCCGAAAGAUGGUGAACUAUACCGGAGUAGGGCGAAGCCAGAGGAAACUCUGGUGGAGGCUCGUAGCGGUGCUGACGUGCAAAUCGCUCGUCGAACUUGGGUAUAGGGGCGAAAGACUAAUCGAACCAUCUAGUAGCUGGUUCCCUCCGAAGUUUCUCUCAGGAUAGCAGGCCGACAGACGUUGUUAUGUGCGGUAAAGCGAAUGAUUAGCGUAUUUGGGGGCGCUUAGCCUUCAGACGAUUCUCAAACUUUAAAUGCGCAAGGGUGUUGCUGCUUAAUUGAGCUUCGCCUUUAAAAACGUCGGCCUUGUGGGCCACUUUUGGUAAGCAGAACUGGCGAUACGGGAUGAACCGUAAGCGUGGUUAAGGCGCCAAAUUAUCCGCUUAUAGAUCCCACAAAAGGUGUUGAUUCAUCGAGACAGCAGGACGGUGGCCAUGGAAGUCGGAAUCCGCUAAGGAGUGUGUAACAACUCACCUGCCGAAUGAAUUAGCCCUGAAAAUGGAUGGCGCUGAAGCGGGUAGCCGACACCACGCCGUCUGGACAAAGUGGUUUUUUCAGAUGAGUAGGAGGGCGUGGCGGUUGUAUCGAAGCGUGGAUGCGAAUCUGCGUGGAACAGCCGCUAGUGCAGAUCUUGGUGGUAGUAGCAAAUAUUCAAGCGAGAUCCUUGAAGGGCGAAGCGGGGAAGGGUUCCACGCGAACAUUGAUUGGGCGUGGGUGAGUCGUUCCUAAGCCGCGUGGCAAUAGCUAAUUACCGGCGAAAGGGAAGCAGGUUGACAUUCCUGCACACGGAUGUGGAGACGGCGACGAUACAUGAGGCGAUCACGCUGGCGGUGGCGCUGGGCAGAGUUGUCUUUUCUGUUUGACCAAUAAAUACUUGCUGUGUGGAAUCCGCUUGUCGGGAGAAACACGCAAGUACGGGCAGAGCGCCGGGGCUUUUCCGGCGUCCAGCUCGCCACCGACGGCCCUUGAAAAAUUGCCUGCUGGACAACAUUUCGGUGUUGUGAGAUCCACGCCGUGGCGUACCGAUAACCGCAUCAGGUCCCCAAGGUGAACAGCCUCUGCUCAGUAUGAACAAUGCAGGUAAGGGAAGUCGGCAAAUUGGACCCGUAACUUUGGGAAAAGGGUUGGCUCUAGUGCUGCGUGGGAGUAGUUGUCGGCUGUUGGCGCUGUUAGAGAUGCGUGCACGGCGCGUNCCGCAAGGGAUGUGCUGUGCUGCGUUUCCGGCGGUGCUGCUCCGACGACGCCCACAGCAUGCAGCAGACUAGAACUGCAACGGGCAAAGGGAAUCCGACUGUUUAAUUAAAACAAAGCAUUGCGAAGGCCGUGGCCGGUGAUAACGCAAU